UGUAUUAUCACUGGCUGUCACAGCAGCGGUUGUAGGAAGAGCGCAAGAAGGAAUCCACUUCCCACGGCGCCUCACCUUCCUCUUAUCCGUCUCCAUCCCGCAGACAUGGAUCUGGAGGUACUGAUGCACACGGCGCUUCCACUCCUCCUAACGUCUGCGCUCUAGCUGUGUCGCGUCCCGCUAAGGACCACAAGGAGGCUGUUAUUAUUUUUGAGACAAUACUGUGUAGCAGAGAGGCGACAGUAGAGACUGAGGAGCAGACAGAAAGGGACCACACAGUCGUGACAGCAAGGGCCGUUUCACGAUAUCGGGCCACUGACUGAGAUUGGCUUUUGGUGCCCUACAUCAUGGCGAGUGACUCUCCAGCUCGGAGUCUGGACGAAAUCGACCUGUCCGCUUUGAGGGAUCCUGCCGGCAUCUUUGAGCUGGUUGAGCUGGUGGGAAAUGGCACCUAUGGGCAGGUGUACAAGGGUCGCCAUGUUAAGACAGGGCAGCUGGCAGCCAUUAAGGUCAUGGAUGUCACCGGGGAUGAGGAAGAGGAGAUAAAAGCGGAAAUCAACAUGCUGAAGAAGUACAGUCACCAUCGGAACAUCGCCACCUACUAUGGAGCUUUUGUCAAGAAAAACCCCCCUGGCAUAGAUGACCAGCUAUGGCUGGUCAUGGAGUUCUGUGGAGCCGGCUCGGUGACGGACUUGAUCAAGAACACCAAAGGCAACUCUCUGAAAGAAGAGUGGACCGCCUACAUCUGCCGAGAGAUACUCAGGGGUCUGACUCAUCUCCAUCAGCACAAGGUGAUCCACCGAGACAUCAAGGGACAGAACGUCCUGCUGACGGAGAACGCCGAGGUCAAACUAGUGGACUUUGGUGUUUCAGCCCAGUUGGACAGAACAGUAGGAAGGAGGAACACAUUUAUCGGUACGCCAUAUUGGAUGGCACCAGAGGUCAUCGCCUGUGACGAGAACCCUGAGGCCACGUACGACUUUAAGAGUGAUCUAUGGUCGCUUGGAAUCACAGCGAUAGAGAUGGCCGAAGGAGCACCACCGCUGUGUGACAUGCACCCAAUGAGAGCCCUCUUCCUGAUCCCGCGCAACCCCCCACCCAGACUCAAGUCCAAGAAGUGGUCAAAGAAGUUCCAGUCGUUCAUAGAGAGCUGUCUGGUGAAGAGCCACAGCCAGAGACAGAGCACAGAGCAGCUCCUCAAACACCCGUUCAUCAGAGACCUGCCCAACGAGAGGCAGAUCCGCAUCCAGCUGAAGGACCACAUCGACCGGACCAAGAAGAAGAGAGGAGAGAGAGAUGAGACCGAGUACGAGUACAGUGGCAGCGAGGAGGAGGAUGAAGAAAGAGAAAUGGGUGAACCAAGCUCCAUCAUCAACGUCCCCGGAGAGUCGACCCUGAGGCGGGACUUCCUGCGGCUCCAGGUGGCCAACAAGGAGCGCUCGGAAGCACAGCGGCGGCAGCAGCUGGAGCAGCUGCAGAAUGAGGAGCACAAGCGCUUACUGUUGGCUGAGAGACAGAAACGCAUCGAGGAACAGAAGGAGCAGAGGAGACGUCUGGAGGAGCAGCAGCAGCGAGAGCGUGAGCUGCGGAAACAGCACGAGAGGGAACAGAGGAGGCGCUACGAGGAAAUGGAGCAGCUCCGCAGAGAGGAGGAGAGGAGGCAUGCAGAGAGAGAACAGGAGUAUAUCCGUAGGCAGCUGGAAGAGGAACAGAGGCAGUUAGAGAUUCUCCAGCAGCAGCUACUGCAGGAACAGGCAUUACUGAUGGAGUACAAACGUAAGCAGAUAGAGGAGCAGCGGCAGGCGGAGAGGCUCCAGAGGCAGCUCCAGCAGGAGAGAGCCUACCUGGUGUCUCUACAGCAGCAACAGCAGCAGCAGCAGCAGCAGGAGGGAAGGCAAGCAGAGAAGAAGCCGCUUUACCACUACAAAGAUAUUAUCAAUCCUAAUGACAAGCCUGCCUGGGCUAAAGAGGUUUCCAAGCAGCAGCAUGUUCAGGGUAACCCGCCGUGCUCCAAACUACGACAUCACCGGUCAUUCAACCAACCGGCGUCAUCCCCUGGCUCAAGGGGUGCUCAAGCCCCCAAGCGAACCCAGUCCCAUGGUGCCCAGUUCCUCCACACCCACCUCCCCCAUAUCCGUAUUUCACUAGACAGCGAAGAACCGCUAGAUCCAGGGCUCAAGCAGGAGAUAAGUCAGCAGGUCAGAGAGUUUAGGGCUCAGAAACUCCAUCAAAGGGGCCGCAGCCCGGGGCCUGUCCAGAAACACAACCAGGCCCCUGGCCAAGGGCCCAGUGAGGGACCUAGUAAGAGUCAUAAAGAGAAUUUUGGUCAAGGGCCAGUCAGCCAGUCUAAUCCAGCACCAAACCCUUAUCCUCUGGGGCCUAGCAAUCACAACGAUAAGCCCAAAGACAGGCAUCUCUCGGCUGCCAGUCAGGGGCUAAUGUCCCCGGGACUUCAACCUCAUCCUCAGUCCCCAGGAAAAAUCCAGAGGCCUAAGUCAGGAUCCAAACCCGUUCCCAUCACUGCGCUCAAACCGGUUAGUGGUCGUUGCAGGUCCCAUUCACCUUGCUGUCGAAUAGAUGUAGACAUAGAACAGGGGUAUCGUGGAGGGUGGGGGAAAGAGAUGAGGCAAGCUGUCAGCAACAAGGACCUUAUGGUGCCCUCGGACUGGGACGUCACAGCAUUUGACCCCUUCUCUCAAUCCUACCCUGACAGCUUACUCCAGUCCGACCCACCUAGACGCAGGAGCUCCUACUCACCUGCCUCCAGUUGUUUUCUUCAAGUCCCUGAAACCAAUUGUUUCCGUUCCCCUCCUUCUAAUAAGGACAGACAGGGAAGGUUUAGGGGGCAGAAUGGAAGCCAUAGCGGCUCUCUGUGUGACCUCACAGCUUCUGCCCCAGCAAGCAUACUUAGACAGAACCUGGCUGAUGGCAGACAAAUGAGUAGUUGCUCCUCUGACCGCUUGUCAGCCAUCUCUCAAACCACUCCAGCUCCUUGGUUUGACCUUUCUCCUCGCACCUCUCCACAAAUCUCCCCCUCGUCCUCAGGCUCAUGGUCCGAUUUUAGCUUUUCCCCUCCAUGUGCCAGUUCCCCUCCAUUCUCUUCUGACAUCACUGUGGCCAAUAUGCCCAACAAAUUCUCUCCACCUUCCGGUACCCACAUCAACCUGCCCAACAAGGCCUCCUUCCCUGCGCCUAGCCCCCACUGCUCCCCGCAUGGCUCUCCCUUUGGAUCCCAGACUCAGAUCUGCAUCAGAUCUGGUGUUGGGUGCUAGACCCUUGUCCAAAGCACUCAUGUAUAGGAACACACACACAAAGUUUUGUACUUCUAAAUUUGUGACUGAAUUAAUGCAUUCCCUCGCCCAAAUCCUACCCUUAACCAUAACAGCUACAUGCUGAACCUUGAGCCCUUAUCCAAUUGUUGUACCUUCUGUUGCCUGCAGUACAGGUUGAUUCCACAUAAAGAGGUUGGUACACCCAUUUAGUUUGUGUCUGCUUAGUCUAGCAUUGCCAGACCUAUCGCCACAGUGCUAAGUCAGCGCUGGAGUAAAGUCUGGCUACACAACGCAUACAUUCUGGAACAGAAGAAACAACUCCGGCUUGUUGCAUUUCUCUUAACCAAUCACAGUUGUCUUGAGCGGCACCAAGCCCAGGGUGCAGUGACGGUGCAUCUCCGAAAUUGUCUUGUGAAGGAAGUUGUUGCUCUGAAAUGGCUAACUCCCUGCAAAAGAAAAUGCCACAUAUAAAUAUUAAAUUAGGUUAGCUGUUCUGCUGAUUUGCUGUUUUACUUACGCCAGACCUGACAAAUCAGGAUGUCAUCUGACUUUAUCCUGGCAGUGUACUUCCAUUGCUCCAGACUAGUGUCUGCUUCAAUAUAUGAAAAACUAAAGAUUUUACUUUUAAUUAACAAAAGGCAAAAUUACAAGCGUUUCCAAAUCUGGCUACAAAUCAAAACAUCUAUUGCAUCUUAACCCAAGCCUAACCCUAAAACCAAGUCUAAACCCCCAAACAGCCCAUUGUCAAAUAUGUCCUCACUUUUCAGAUAACAGCCACUCUCAAUGUCCAAAAGUCAAAAUAGUCCUCACAAAUAUAGAAGUACAAAUAUAAAUUAUAAAAAUAUAGAUGUACAUACAUAUAUUAACAUACAACAAAGAAGUAUAGCUACUUUUAUCUCUAUUUUAAUUCUACUGGGACUGUGAUCCAGAGGAGAGGUGCUGAUAUUUAGAGGCAGUUUCUAAUAUCACCCUGACCCAUAGGUAUCUUAGUGAACCAUAGACCUGCCCCAACCCCUCCACCCUGCAAGCCACCUUGUCACCCUUAUCCCCCAGUGUCCCACAAAGCACCAUGGCAAGCCCGCUCCUAGCCAUAUUCUUGUUGAUGUCAUCGGGGAAACCCACCCAACUCAUCUUCUUUUUAGGUGGAGGAGCGAUCUAAGCUGAACAGACAGAGCUCCCCAGCCCUCCAGCACAAAGUGUCCAACCGCAUCUCCGACCCCUCCCUCCCUCCCCGCUCCGAGUCCUUCAGCAACGUGGGCAUGCAGCCCGCCCGCACCCCACCCACCCACCGCUCCGUUGAACCACAGAUGGCUCACCUGAUUCCAGUGAAGACCCACUCCGGCUCCAUGUCCGGCUCUCAGUCUCUGCAGGACCAGUCAGG